GACGAACGCUGGCGGCGUGCUUAACACAUGCAAGUCGAACGGAAAGGCCCUGCUUUUGUGGGGUGCUCGAUUGGCGAACGGGUGAGUAACACGUGAGUAACCUGCCCUUGACUUUGGUAUAACUUCAGGAAACUGGGGCUAAUACCGUAUAGGAUCUCCUGCUGCAUGGUGGGGGUUGGAACGUUUCGGCGGUUGGGGAUGGACUCGCGGCUUAUCAGCUUGUUGGUUGGGUAGUGGCUUACCAAGGCUUUGACGGGUAGCCGGCCUGAGAGGGUGACCGGCGACAUUGGGACUGAGAUACGGACCAGACUCCUACGGGAGGCAGCAGUGGGGAAUAUUGCACAAUGGGCGGAAGCCUGAUGCAGAAACGCCGCGUGCGGGAUGACGGCCUGCGGGUUGUAAACCGCUGUCGCCUGUGACGAAGCGUGAGUGACGGUAAUGGGUAAAGAAGCACCGGCUAACUACGUG
rnacentral:rRNA from 1 species